UUUUUUUUUUUUUUUAAAUUGAAGUGAUUUUUAUAUACUGUAAGAAUUUUGAAAAGAAAGUUUAAUACGUAAUGCUUUCAUUUAAACUGUAAUCUUCCUAAAAAACCUGUGUUAAGUAUAUAUGGUAUUAUAUACUGGUUUGUGUUUUAAGCAGUUCCUCUUUUAGCUGAUAAUUGUCAUUCAGUUCCAAUGCCUGGAUUUGUGUGGUGUUUGUAGUCACAUUUGUGCCCAGGGGUAUUACAUGGUGACCUUAUGAGAAAUGAUGAGGGACAGUUUUUAUGCAUACCAUACACAUCUGUGCUAGGUGAGGGCCCAGUGCUGUGCUUUGCUGAGUAAAAUGUUCACAUAGAUUUAAACAUUUGUUGAGAGAACUGAAUGAAGAACAUCAGAAAUAUCAAAAUAAAUUUAACAUGCCACUUACUGCUCUUACCUUUAAAAUACUUGGAAUUGUUAAAAGCACAACUUCUUACAGAGUUAAUGAUACAUGUGGAUAUAGUGACUAAUAGAGAAUAAGAAAUUAAAUGGACGCCCUCUGUGACUGGAAAGAUUCUAUUUUGCAAAGCGCAAUAAAGUUAAGGAUGCAGAUUUCAUCCCAAGAAAGAUCAAGAGAAGAUAAUGUGAAGCCGGUGGGUAAACGCAGAUGGAGUUCUAAUACAGCUAAACGACCAGAGGAGGUCAGGAAGGAGAGCACACUAAAUAAGAAGUCAGAGGGGAGAGCCGAGCAUAGCACUGUGUGUACACGGUCCAGUGCUUGGGCAGCUGAAGUGGGAGGAUGUCUGGAAUCAUGAGCUAAAGACCCUGCUGGACAACAAAGUGAAGCCAAAUCUCAAGAAGCAAGCCCAGACCCCCCAAAUAACUAACAACCCACCCAAAGACCCCACCCACCAACAGGACUCCAGAGAAGGUACACUGAACAUUGGUAAAGACACAGACAUCAAAUCAGCAUGUCUUUUGGCUACAUUAAAUGCUAGAGAGCUAAAUAUCCCGACUGAUUAAAUGCUAGAGAGCUAAAUAUCCCGACUGUGACAGAGAUUAUUGUAACAGAUAAACAGCAAGGCCAGACUAUAUGCUAUUUACAAGGGAUAGACUUUAAGAAUAAAGACAGAUUGAGCUGGUAAAAUGGCUCAGGUAAAGACACCUGGCACCACACCUGAGUCCAGUUUUUGGAACCUAAAUCUUAAGAAGACAGAUUUCCAAAGACCUCCUCAUGCCAGCUCUGGCCUAUUCACAUGAUCUCCCUCUCCCUCUCCCUCUCCCUCCCCCCCUCCCCCUCCCCCUUUCUCUUUCUCUCUCUCUCUCUCUCUCUCUCUCUCUCUCUCUCUCUCUCUCUCUCUCUCUCAUAAAUAAAAGUAUUUAUUUAAACUAUGUAAAAACUCAGAGGGCCUGGUGAUACAGCUCAGCUGGCAGAUUACUUGCCUAGCAUUCAUAGAUCCCUAACACUGCGUGAACCGGGUGCAGUGGUGCACACUUAUAAUCCCAGUGAUCAGGAGAUGGAAGCCUGCCUUCCUCAAUGACAUAGCAAGUGGGAGACCGCAUAGGUUACAUGAGAUGCUGUCUGAAAGAAAAAGGGAGAAGAAAAAGAAAGCAGAUACACUGAAAGUGUAUGAGUUAAACAAGCCGGGAAUGGCUCUCAUAGGGUUACAUAGGGUUAAAGUGCAUAGACUCACUGAGGCAAGUAAUAUUUAUAGAGGUCAAGAAAUGUCCCAUAGGAUGAAAGGGAUAAUUAUUAGGAAGACAUAAUCCUAAGUGUGUACAUAACCAGCAACAACCUCUACGAGUUUAGAGUGAACUUGAGAAACGAUGGAGAAAUAGGCGAUGCUGGGUAAUAGGUUAUUAUCAAGGUUAAUAGAGGUCAGAAUUGGUAGAGAAUCCACAUAGAAGGUGGCCGAUUUACCUCACUCCUGGACACACCCACAGGACAGACUAUAUUGUGUGUGUGUGUGUGUGUGUGUGUGUGUGGUGGGGUAUUACUGAGACAAGAUUUCUCUGUGUAAGAGCCCUGGCUGUCCUGGAACUUGAUGUGUAAACAAGGCUGGUCAUCAAACUCAAGAGUUCUGUCUCUCAUGUGCUGAGAUUAAAAAUAGGUGUCACCACUAAGCUAUGUAGUCAUUUUAGUGAAUUGAAAUCUUACAGGUUAGUUUUUGUUCAUGUCAAGUUUAAAUCAGUAGCAAGAUUUCUACAAAAUGUUGUAUGUUUAUAAAUAACAUGCUUCCCUAUAGUCUGUGCAUCAAAAUAGAAGUUGUAAAGGAGAAAAGAGGACAUCUGAGCUCAGUAAAGAUGGAAACACAGUAUCAACACAGGAAACAUGCAGUGUCAAACAAGAAAUCAGGAAAGGCCCCAAGUUCGUUCACAGUAGUAUGUAGUGGGGAGGGGGCAGAGCAAUU
rnacentral:lncRNA from 1 species